GUGGAACUAGUUUUGAGUAAUCCCAAACAUCAUGGAUAUGUUUCAGUAAUCUUUGUUUCCACACUAGGGUGGGUUUUUCAUGAAGUUCAGAGCACAAAUGAGCUUGAGAACCCUUCGGAUUGGCAGCAGAAAGCGUGAAUAGGGUCGUCAAGUCGUUGCAGGUUCCCCGUUUAGUCCGGGUUCAUAUUCUGACUAUCAUGACCGUGUGCCGGUAACUCCCCGAAAAAGUUUUGUGAAUGGAUGGAUUGUUAAAGUAAGUCUGGGGCGACUUCGAUGACUCACGCUUGUUGCAAAACACAUGAAUCUCCUCGUCAGAGUGGAAAGUCUUUCUUUCAGUAGCAUGCUUAAGGCGAAAAGCUGCAUAAGGUUUCACCCACAAAGCGUGCGUAUUAUCCUGGCUUGGAAAAGUCUUAACAAAUUCGUCAGUUCGUCGUCGUUAGGUCCUCGAUGACGUGGAUAAUUAGUCGCUAGCUAUGCCUUGAAAAUUGAUCUGUUAGGAAUACAAACAUCCACACUGUGACGAAUAGCUUGGGAGGUGCUUUCUCUUUGCACGAUAUCCCGUCGUUACAUCCUCUGCAUGCUACUGAAAGAAACUUGUAUUUCAGAGGAACCUGAGUCUUGCAAUGUUGGACGUUAGGACGAGGUACAAAGCCACGCCAGCUAGCAACAAAUUGAGCUUUGGUAAUUACUCUUUCUACAAUCUUGAAUGAUACUUUGCAUCUCAAGUGAUCUUAGAGGGGCAAUUGGUGGGCGCUUGACCAGAGUUUGGCGUCUUACAAGAAUCAUGUAUUUCGGCAAGUCGAUAGGAAUGUGUUCCGUUGAAGGAAUUUACAGGAGUGUUACGAAGUCAAUUGGUAGUUUUUGUGGUUGUUGGAUGCAUCGUCUUGUGGAAAAUAAAGUACCGAAGUGAAUGCUUCUCAGCCAAA